GCCAUAGAGAGGGUAAGGGUGAGGGUGAUGGUGAGGACCAAGGGGAGGACCAAGUGCAAGGCCAAUGUGAGGACCACAGUGAGGGCCACAAAGCAGGCCCGGCUGGGCUAGGACAGGGGUGGGCUCCCGGCAGCGGUGUGGCCAGGCUGGGGUCAGGCAUCCCCCACGACCUACUCUCCAACCUGCCUCCAGAGCCAUUUCUUCCUGAGAAAUCGUAAUCAGAGCUCAAGCAUAAGAAGCUGGUCAGAGCAGAAGUGUUCCAGCGCAUGGCUCUCGCUGUGGGGUCCCCGUACGCCGCGGGUCCCGGAGCCCCUUCGAGACCGAGCAGUCAGAACCCAUCUGCAUUUUACGCACGCAUCACUCUCGUGGCGCCGAGCCGAGAACCGCUGUGUUUGGUGAGGCUGGUUGUUGGAGGUUCGCACCCUGUAGCAAACACCACUCCCCUUCCUGCACUGUGUGUGUUGUGGGUUUCAGAGAACAGUUUUUCAUUAAAAACAUGUCUCCUAUGUUAGCAUAGCCUGAGCUUAUUAUUAAAUGCACUAAUAUACAUUUACAAUUUCUGCUUUGAUAGCAGUAGAUUUCUCCUGUAGAGACUGAGGCUGACGUCUGCGAGUGUUGAGAGGCGACGUUGUUCUGCGGCCACAAAUCCCCCAAGGAGCCCCAGAACUGCCCGAAAACGUAGCGCAACAGCAUCACACAAGAGGGCGCGAAGCUUCUGAGCAAAAGGCUUGAAGACUCGCGGUUCAUCAGCCAGAGUUGGGCAGCAUGUGGCAAGAACAAGGAGCUGCCACCAAAGGCUCUGCCCCUCGGAUCCCCAGCGGAACCGACCUCCCUCCGUGCUUGAGCAUCAGCAGCAGGACAUGCCGAGAGCUGACCGGGGCCGGACCGAGGCCUUGCCUCUACCGUGCGCCCACAGACUGACUUCACAUUUGGUUCGUGAACUUCCUGCCCCCUCGGUUACCUUGUUUGUUGUGUGGUUUGUUUUCUGUCCAGAUCUGUGUGCCGUGUAAGAAGCCAAAUUUAAUCACCUGGUGAAAUGUCACUGAGCUUGGAAUCCUGAGCCUGCUGUAUAAUUGGGACUAACUUUCCUUUAUUACUGAAUAAAGCUGGCCUUGUGACGACA